AACACCAAAAUAUCUAGAGAGAGAGAGAGGAAACCGUGAAAGGGAGAGAGGGAAGAGAGACAACUUUCCCAACAUCCAUGGAGGCUUUGAAGAUGAUUGAAGAGAAUUGAAGGAAAAGAAAGAAGAUCGCCCAUGGGACUUAGAGGAAUUAAAGAGAGCUAAGAGAUAGACAAGGAUUGAGUUAGGUCAAGACGAGGACAUCGUUCCACCGCUAUCAGAGACCUACCAUUGUGAGUCAUCGGGGAUUGACACUAGAAUUGUACCAAGGUUUGCCUGUCUGCCAAGACACCUGGGGUGGAGGCAAUCCAAGUUAAUGCUGAUGAAGGUGGAUUUACACAAACAUGUGGUGGCAUAUAUUGGGUGAUCUUCCCAGUUGGAUGUUGUCCCUUGCUCAUUCCUGAUAAAUUUUCUUUUUAUUGCCAGAAUGCAAAACUAUUAUUUUCAUGUGACAAAAUGCAUUUUUGGAACACGCCAAGCAUCCUUGACUUCCAUGUUACUGAGUUAUAAUGCGCCCACAUUAUUCACCAUGUUUGCUCAAGCUUUUUUAUAUUGUUGUUUUUGAUUGACAAGAAGUUUCUUUUGACAUUUUCAAACAUAUCUUUGGAACUAACUCACAUUGUUUUUAAUUUCUCACUUUUUUUUGUAUUGUUCUUCUUGUAUUAUUAAACUUAUUUUUAAUUUUUGAGUCUUUUCAGAUGUUUAAUUC